rnacentral:rRNA from 1 species
GACAGAGGAUGCAAGCGUUAUCCGGAAUUAUUGGGCGUAAAGCGCACGUAGGUGGUCUGUUAUGUCAGAUGUGAAAGCCCUCGGCUUAACUGAGGAAGUGCACCUGAAACUGGCAGGCUUGAGUACGAAAGAGGGUCGCGGAAUUCCCGGUGUAGAGGUGAAAUUCGUAGAUAUCGGGAGGAACACCAGUGGCGAAGGCGAACUACCCUGGCCUGUUCUUGACGCUGAGG